UACGUAGGGUGCGAGCGUUAAUCGGAAUUACUGGGCGUAAAGCGUGCGCAGGCGGUUUUGUAAGCCAGAUGGGAAAUCCCCGGGCUUAACCUGGGAAUGGCAUUUGGGACUGCAAGGCUGGAGUGUGGCAGAGGAGACUGGAAUUCCCGGUGUAGCAGUGAAAUGCGUAGAUAUCAGGAGGAACACCAAUGGCGAAGGCAGAUCUCUGGGCCGUAACUGACGCUGGGGAGCGAAAGCAUGGGGAGCGAACAGG
rnacentral:rRNA from 1 species